UACGGAGGGAGCUAGCGUUGUUCGGAAUUACUGGGCGUAAAGCGCACGUAGGCGGCUUUGUAAGUUAGAGGUGAAAGCCCGGAGCUCAACUCCGGAAUUGCCUUUAAGACUGCAUCGCUUGAAUCCAGGAGAGGUGAGUGGAAUUCCGAGUGUAGAGGUGAAAUGCGCAGAUAUCGGGAGGAACACCAAUGGCGAAGGCAGCUCGCUGGGACGGUACUGACGCUGAGACGCGAAAGCGUGGGUAGCAAACAGG
rnacentral:rRNA from 1 species